rnacentral:rRNA from 1 species
AUUGAACGCUGGCGGCAUGCCUAACACAUGCAAGUCGAGCGGACGAAUGGAGCUCUUGCCCGUCUUCCGUGGCGGACGGGCGAGUAAUUCCCACGAAGCUGACCGGCAUAUGAGGAUAACGUCCCUUAGGGAGCCCUGAUACCAUACACGUUCAUAUGUUGAACCGGAGGGAUCAAUGGAGCAAACCCUUUUUGCUGAGCCUAGGUCGGAUUAGCUAGUUGGUUGGGUAAAGGCCUACCAAGGCGACGAUCCGUAACUGGUCUGAGAGGAUGAUCAGUCACACUGGAACUGAGACACGGUCCAGACUCCUACGGGAGGCAGCAGUAGGGAAUAUUGGACAAUGGGCGAAAGCCUGAUCCAGCCAUGCCGCGUGUGUGAAGAAGGUCUUCGGAUUGUAAAGCACUUUUAGUUGGGAGGAAGGACAGUAAGUUAAUACAUUGCUGUUUUGACGUUACCAACAGAAUAAGCACCGGCUAACUUCGUG